AUCCUGCCAGGGACCAGGAUGAUUCCUGGAUGAUCAAAGAUAGAGGAUUCUGUAGACUCUCAUAGGUAAAAGAAAAGGCCCUUGAUGAAGAUUGACUGGGAGAUGGAAAAACUCACAGUGAUUGUGGAAUAUGGAGCCUGGGAGAACAAGAGUCACUGGGACUGGCACACAUACAGGGAAAGUCUCUGCUGGCACCUGCUCCUGGAUCCACAUUCUCCACUGCUGAGGAAAGCAGAAGUUCACCUUCCUCUGGACAUUCGUGGUGAAUACAAGGCAAGCUUUCUCUGACCAUGAAAGAUGAGCUGACAGUGGUUCUUCCCAUUUGACAGAUGAAGACUGAAUCUUAUAGAAGUUAACAUGACUGAAUCUUAUAGAAGUUAACAACAACUAAGGGUCCCCGUCCAGCCCUGACUCACUGAGCUGCUUAGAUUUUAUGGGUUCAGUGUUGAGUGAUGAUCCAUGAACUAGUGAUAUUAAAAGGAUAAUCUGCCUAA